CACUAGAUAGACCUACUCAAAACUUGUUGUAACUCCACUUUCACGAUCUUUCUUCAUUUGAAUUAGGAAUGCGUCAACGAAAUCGUCUCCUUCGCCUUGUAAAACGUG
rnacentral:snoRNA from 1 species